AGAGUUUGAUCCUGGCUCAGGAUGAACGCUGGCGGCGUGCUUAACACAUGCAAGUCGAGCGAGAAAAGUUCUUCGGAGCUUUUCUAGCGGCGGACGGGUGAGUAACACGUGGGCAACCUGCCUCAUAGAGGGGAAUAGCCUUCCGAAAGGAAGAUUAAUACCGCAUAACAUUGUUGAAAGGCAUCUUUUAACAAUCAAAGGAGCAAUCCGCUAUGAGAUGGGCCCGCGGCGCAUUAGCUAGUUGGUGAGGUAACGGCUCACCAAGGCGACGAUGCGUAGCCGACCUGAGAGGGUGAUCGGCCACAUUGGGACUGAGACACGGCCCAAACUCCUACGGGAGGCAGCAGUGGGGAAUAUUGCACAAUGGGGGAAACCCUGAUGCAGCAACGCCGCGUGAGUGAAGAAGUAUUUCGGUAUGUAAAGCUCUAUCAGCAGGGAAGAUAAUGACGGUACCUGACUAAGAAGCUCCGGCUAAAUACGUGCCAGCAGCCGCGGUAAUACGUAUGGAGCAAGCGUUAUCCGGAUUUACUGGGUGUAAAGGGUGCGUAGGUGGCAGUGCAAGUCAGAUGUGAAAGGCCGGGGCUCAACCCAUGAACUGCUUUUGAAACUGUUUCCCUUGAGUAUCGGAGAGGCAGGCGGAAUUCCUAGUGUAGCGGUGAAAUGCGUAGAUAUUAGGAGGAACACCAGUGGCGAAGGCGAUUCUCUGGACGACAACUGACGCUGAGGCGCGAAAGCGUGGGGAGCAAACAGGAUUAGAUACCCUGGUAGUCCACGCUGUAAACGAUGAAUACUAGGUGUGGGGGGACUGACCCCUUCCGUGCCGCAGUUAACACAAUAAGUAUUCCACCUGGGGAGUACGAUCGCAAGAUUGAAACUCAAAGGAAUUGACGGGGGCCCGCACAAGCAGUGGAUUAUGUGGUUUAAUUCGACGCAACGCGAAGAACCUUACCGGGAUUUGACAUCCUACUAACGAAGCAGAGAUGCAUUAGGUGCCCUUCGGGGAAAGUAGAGACAGGUGGUGCAUGGUUGUCGUCAGCUCGUGUCGUGAGAUGUUGGGUUAAGUCCCGCAACGAGCGCAACCCCUAUUGUUAGUUGCUACGAAAGAGCACUCUAGCGAGACUGCCGUUGACAAAACGGAGGAAGGCGGGGACGAUGUCAAAUCAUCAUGCCCCUUAUGUCCCGGGCUACACACGUAAUACAAUGGCGAAUAACAAUGGGAGGCAAAGCCGCGAGGCAGAGCAAAUCCCCAAAAUUCGUCUCAGUUCGGAUUGCAGGCUGCAACUCGCCUGCAUGAAGCUGGAGUUGCUAGUAAUCGCGAAUCAGAAUGUCGCGGUGAAU
rnacentral:rRNA from 1 species